UACGGAGGGUGCAAGCGUUGUCCGGAAUCACUGGGCGUAAAGGGCGCGUAGGCGGCUCAUGAAGGCUGUGGUGAAAGCCCGGGGCUCAACCUCGGAUCGGCCGUGGCGACUCGUGGGCUGGAGCACUGUAGAGGCGGGUGGAAUUCCGGGUGUAGCGGUGGAAUGCGUAGAGAUCCGGAGGAACACCAGUGGCGAAGGCGGCCAGCUGGGCAGUGGCUGACGCUGAGGCGCGACAGCGUGGGGAGCAAACAGG
rnacentral:rRNA from 1 species